UGAGGCAGGAGAAUUGCUUGAACCCAGGAAUUGGAGGCUGCAGUGAGCCAAGAUCGUGCCACUGCACUCCAGCCUGGGUGACAGCGAGACUCUAUCUC
rnacentral:miRNA from 1 species